GAGUUUGAUCCUGGCUCAGGAUGAACGCUGGCGGCGUGCUUAACACAUGCAAGUCGAGCGAUGAAGUUUCCUUCGGGAAAUGGAUUAGCGGCGGACGGGUGAGUAACACAUGGGUAACCUGCCUCAUAGAGUGGAAUAGCCUUCCGAAAGGGAGAUUAAUACCGCAUAACGUUGAAAGAUGGCAUCAUCAUUCAACCAAAGGAGCAAUCCGCUAUGAGAUGGACCCGCGGCGCAUUAGCUAGUUGGUGGGGUAACGGCCUACCAAGGCGACGAUGCGUAGCCGACCUGAGAGGGUGAUCGGCCACAUUGGGACUGAGACACGGCCCAGACUCCUACGGGAGGCAGCAGUGGGGAAUAUUGCACAAUGGGGGAAACCCUGAUGCAGCAACGCCGCGUGAGUGAUGAAGGUUUUCGGAUCGUAAAGCUCUGUCUUUGGGGAAGAUAAUGACGGUACCCAAGGAGGAAGCCACGGCUAACUACGUGCCAGCAGCCACGGUAAUACGUAGGUGGCAAGCGUUAUCCGGAUUUACUGGGCGUAAAGGGAGCGUAGGCGGAUGAUUAAGUGGGAUGUGAAAUACCCGGGCUCAACUUGGGUGCUGCAUUCCAAACUGGUUAUCUAGAGUGCAGGAGAGGAGAGUGGAAUUCCUAGUGUAGCGGUGAAAUGCGUAGA
rnacentral:rRNA from 1 species